rnacentral:rRNA from 1 species
GAUGAACGCCGGCGGUGUGCCUAAUACAUGCAAGUCAUACGCACUGGCCCAACUAAUUGAUGGUGCUUGCACCUGAUUGACGAUGGAUCACCAGUGAGUGGCGGACGGGUGAGUAACACGUAGGUAACCUGCCCCGGAGCGGGGGAUAACAUUUGGAAACAGAUGCUAAUACCGCAUAACAACAAAAGCCGCAUGGCUUUUGUUUGAAAGAUGGCUUUGGCUAUCACUCUGGGAUGGACCUGCGGCGCAUUAGCUAGUUGGUAAGGUAACGGCUUACCAAAGCGAUGAUGCAUAGCCGAGUCGAGAGACUGAUCGGCCACAAUGGAACUGAGACACGGUCCAU